CGCCGCCUCCUCCCCGACGACCUCGCCGGCCACGACGCCGUAGUCCUCUACCGCACCAGCUUCCCUGCUCCCCUAGACCCGCGCCGCCCCGUGCCUCCGCGAAACCCUAGCGGAGCUAGCGGCUGCUGGUCCAGCGUCGAAGACCACCCGCCGGGUGCUGGCCCUCGCUCGAUCUCCUUCACGUCGUCCGCAUCAAGCUCGCCAGCCUCGGCGUUGGGAACCCGCCUUCGUUCCGCUGCUGCCUGGCCGCCGCGACGGGCUUCUGUGCCUCGCCCCAAGCUGCGACGCCGUGUGCCGCUGCAGGGCCACGCCGCAGACGUUCCAGGGCCGCUGCGUGCUGCUCUUCCUCGCCCCUCGCCUCCGCUCCAAGAUCGAGGAACUGCUCUUCCUGGCCGCUCACCUCUGCUCCAUCCUGGCCGCCUCAGCAUCCGCCUCCAGCCCAAAGUCUGCCAUCAAGGGAGACAUGAAGCUGAGGGUGGUCGUCAUGGACAGCGAGGCUGCGGCGGUGACGGCGACGGAGAGGAGCACCGCCAAGGAGAAGCUCUAGGAACCUUGAAGAAAAUAAACUAGCAACUUAGGGAACAGAUAUUCCUUAGGAUCUUGUUCCCGACAGAAGUUGCUUCAGGAAUCCCUAAAGAAGGAGUGCCAGCUAAGAUGCAGAACAGCUGCGGCCAGCGUCGAUGUGUUCGCGUUCGAAGACCUAACGGCUGCAGAGCUGAAGCGGUUGACGGAGGGAGCGGCGGACGGUGAGGGAGCGGCGGCGGACGAAAAGGGAUCUGCGGUGGCGGACGCCCUCUCCGAGGAGCGGUGGCACGCGGUCGUCCGGACGGGAAGAUGUUGUCUUGAAUCAGACGUAUU